GCCUUCUGUGCCUGGCAGCCCCCAUCUGGGAAAUGCGGAGGUUGGGGAGGGCUUGGAUCAGAAAAGUCUGAGGGGCUGAGAGAGUCAGGGGCUUUCCCAAGACCGGGGUUUGGUUCCAUCCCUACCUGAUGCAAGUUUUCCACGGUUGAUAACACCUUCCCUGACAAUCCAUAGAGAUAGAUGCAAGGACCAAACGAGGAACCCAGAAACGCUUUGUCAGCUAUGCAGUGCUGUCCACGUGCAGAGAACCGAAAUUAUUCUUUUUUUUCCAGGUGCCUCUUUGUCCUCAAGGGUCAAAGAUUCAUCAAGAACCUAACUAGUUUUAGCCGGGCGGCAAUCUCUCCCAGUGCUGAACACCUAGUGCGGACCAGGCACUUCAUCUGCCUGUCUCUGGUCUUCCAGACUACCCUGUGAAGUAUUAUCCACGGCAGCCAGGAGACCCAGAAGUACGCACAGAUAAGACCUGGUUUACUGAUAGCACAUUACAAAGCGUACCAAGUAAUCGUCCAUCCAGACUCUCCCGCCCUAUAAAUCAUACAAUCCGAUUUCACAGAAGAGAGAACUGAGGUUCAGAGAUGGGAAACGUCUGCCUCAGGGGCUCCCAGCUAGGAAGCAACAGGGUGAGGACUAGUGUGCGGGCAUUUCUGACUCCAAAGCCAGGGUGUCUUGUCCCCGCCCCAAUCUGCUGUCAGGCAAAAGAUGGCAGGACUUGCCGAGGGAGCUGAAGGGUGACGGCUGGAGGGGCCGAUCCCCAAUGAUGAGCGAGGUAACAGUUCUCACAGUGGCUAAACAAAGAGCCCUUGCAGUCCGGCUGCCUGGGUUCGAGUCUUGUUCUGUCCCUUCUUAGUUCUGUGCCCUCGGGCAAGCCACUGGUCCUCCCUGAGCCUCAGUUUCCUCGUCUGUAAAAUGGGGAUGGUAAUAAUGUUGCCCACCUCGUUGUGUUGUUGGAGGGUUAAAUUAGAAGCGUGUGGCACACAGCAAGCACAGUGAAAGUCUUGCCUCUUAUUUGCUGGCACCUUGUAUGACAUUUGCUAGAGGCCUCCUGUCUCGUCUACUAUUAAUACUGCCUUUAUAGCACUGCGUGUUCCGGAGCCUGGCCACCUGGGCUCUGCCACUUGCUAGCUGUGUGGUCUAGAGCUUAGAGGGAGACUGAAGGUCAGGCUCAUGAAGUUUAAGCCUUGGGUCGCUCCCUUGCGAGGCCUUGUGCAUCAUUUUGUAUUCAUAAUUUCCUAUUAUUUUUCUUAACGGGGUUCCCCAGUGUGGUAUACGCUCUACUCACAUCCUGCAAAAUGUGGAUCCGCCCCUGUGUGCGCAACACGCUCGGCCUCUCCGGUGCCUCAGUUUUCUCAUCUGUUAAGUGGAAAGAGUGUUACGGUGCCGAUGAAGUGAAUGAAUACGUUUAGGACGCUUGAAAAGUGCCUGGCACGUUGUUAAUUCCCCGAAAGCUGUCGGCUUCUCAAGUAAAUCUCCAGCUAGUGGAUAUGCUAAGUGCUAGUAAAUGUGCUUCGUGGUUUACAUUGGUCAUGUUAUUUAAUUAUGCUUAAUUGUCACAACAACCCCUCCCAUUUUACAGGUGAGAACACAGAGGCUCGGAGAGGUGAGGUCACAGAGCUUGGAAGCCACAUGGGUCUGAUGCCAGGGCCAUGCCCCUUAACUAUUGCCCUGAUACCUCCCUGUUUAUGAGGGGCGCCUGGCAGCUGAACCUGAAGGACUCGGGUCACACCGCAGCCAGGCACUGCCUGCCAGGCCACUUGCAGGGAAUCCAUGAGGCCCCUGCCGGGGAAGAGCUCCCCGUCCCCCCCAAGUCCAGCUGGGCCCCCCUGGCUCUGCCACACCUAGUGCCCUCGUCCCUCCUGCCCCCUAGAGCUUCCUCUUGAGCCCCUGUCACCAGAGGCCCUGGCCCAGGUGGGGCGGGGGCCAACGGGUGACAAUGACCGAUUUAGAAAGUAAAGUUGCUUCUCAAACAAAUAAGAAAGAAGAGGAAAGAAAGAAAUGGCCUGCCCGCUUCCUGCCCCACUCUCUCUCCCAGCACCUGGGGCCCAGCUGUGAGCUUUUCACUGCUUGUUUGUUCAUCCUGCUCGAGGAGCCUCUUCUUAAAGCUCCAGGCCCCCUCCACGGGGGCGGCGGGAUGACUGUGGAGCCAAUGGAAAUAAGCACCCUCCAUGAUUGUUGUAUUGUCGCCGUCUAGAGUAUUGUUUUGGACAACAAUACCAAUAAUCAUAACAAUCUGGGUUUCCUGCCGUUGGCAGAGGGGGGGUUAUCGGCUUCGACUUGGGUGUGGCCGUCCUGGCUGCGAUUUCUGAGGUGUGAAGGCCUGCGCAGGUCAUUAGCUCUCUCUGGGCCUCCGUUUCCUUGCCUGCAAAGUGGGAAUGGGGGCAUGGUGAGCGCCGGAGGAGGCAAGCAAGAGCGCGUACCACGCAGGGCACGGCCGCUGCUGAGUCGGUUACCAAAGCCAGGGUCACCCAAGAGCACGACUUUAAGAGCCUCCCCAGACGUAGUGGGAAAACUCGGUGGACUAGGAGGGGGUGAUAACGCCUGUUGUGUUCCAGCCUCCGUUGUAAGGGCUUUAUGUACAACAACUCACUUCAUCCUCACCAUGCCGCAUGUGUGCAUACUGUCAGAUGAAGACACCCAAGAGUGAUUUGCCCAAGGUCAGUGCAUCUGGCAGGUGCAGAGCCAGGCCGAACCCAGCCUGUCCCGCUCCAAAACCGGCGCUCUUCUUAGGGGCAUACGCUGCCCUGGGGGCAGGUCUGACUGCAUAGGGUCUGCUUUGCUGCAUCACCGUGGACAAGCCCUUUCCUUCUCAGCCUCAGUUCUCGAUCUGCAAGCUGAACAGCCCACGGUACCUGACUCCAGACAGCAUACAGCCCGCAGGGAAAGUCAUGGUCAGAUUUCGUGACAGUGUAGAGAAAGACAAUGGAUGAACAUAUCAGGGGCUCUGGAAGCCACGGCUGCCGCUGCCAUAAUUAUUAUUAGUUUUAGAGUCACAGGCGAGAGUCAGCCUAGAGGAUGCUGAGGGCCCUGCCCAGCUCUGCAAAUCUAAAUCCUGUGGUUGCAGCUGGGGAGUGACUCUAGGAGGCACCUGGUGAGAGGUGGCUCUACCCGUUGGGGCUAAAAUAAUCCCUGAGGCUGCCGCCAUGCAAUCUGUCACUCACCUGCCCUAAUUAAUGGCAAACUCACCAACCCUGCCCCUCCGCCUCACUCCCAUCCCCCACGAGCUGUGUGGCCCUGGAGAAAUCACUCGACCUCUCUGAGACAGGAAAAGGACAUGACCCUGCAGAAUUUUGAUGGAUUAGAGAUAAUGCAGACAGAGUACUCAGCACAGUGCCUGAUGUGUGGUUGAGAAGAGGUGAUGAGAACCUGAGUUUGGGGGCCGACCCAUGUUCCAUUCCCGGCUACACCAUUUCCUAUUGUGUACCCUCAGGCAAGUUCCUUGCACUCUCUGAGCCUGGAAAAUGGGUUAGCACAGCACCCGGCAUACAGUAGUUGUUUACCUAACGAUUGUGGUUGGUGGUGACCGUGUCUGGCCCUCUAUAAAGAUGUCCAGAGGCCUUCAAAGAUCCCAGGGGUAUAAUGUUCUCCACAGUGCUGGGUUUCUCUGUUUGCCCCUCUAGAACUCCCCUCUGCCCUUCUCCAUCCUGUUCUGUGCCCUGGCAGGUGAACUCUGGGGUGCCAUCAAUGGCCUCUUUUGCCCUCUGGUUCUGGUUGGGUGGGGCAGGAAGGCAGAGGGCAGGUGGAGAAUGGGGCAGAGUGAUUCCCCCAGCCCCUUGCUACAGGGUUGCACGGGUUGGCUGUGUCCCUCACCCAAAGGCUCUGGCUCCUGGUAGGCGACCCCGUGCAUCCAUCUCUGGCCCUGAGUCCGGGUCGCUUCUCCCUCUUCACCCUUCAGGCCGUGGGUGGUAACGGCUCCCCACUGUGGCCAGCCCUGGGAUACUGCACCAUCCCUCCCGGUCUCCCUGAAUCCUGCCUGCGUCUUUGGUAAUAGUCUCUUGAUUAAACCCUCUUCAAACUUCUCAACUUGAGUGUACCGUCUGUUUCCUGCCAAGGCCCUGCUCAUGGUUUUAGUGUGACAUGUAUCCUGUCGUAUUCGUCAAGGACUCCAGGCCCCGUACAGCUAGCUGGGAGCAGAGAUAACCGAGCUAGAGCUCCUGACGCCAAGGAGUUCAUGGACUAGAUGGGGAGACAGACGCCUAAACAGACAACCACAGUAUUUGCUAAGAAGCCAUUAUAGAAGCGUGUUCAAACCCUGAGGCAAGAGAAACCCUCAAACUCUGAGGGAGGCUGGGAAGGCUGCAUAGCAGAGGGACCUCCUCAAAGGUAAAAAAAAAUUCUUAAUAACAUAUUUUAUCUAACCCAAUAUUUCAAGGUAUUAUCAAUGUAUAAUAUCACUUAAAAGUGAUACAGAAAUCCUUAAGAAUUGUAACAUUUUUUCCCCUAAGUCUUAAACAGCCCAGUGCGUCUUUUACAUGCACGGCACGUCUCCGCUCGGCCGGUCCCCAUUUCAGGGGCUCAGGAGCCACAGGGGGCUGUUUCCCCCCACUUUACAGAUGAGGAAGCAGAGACUCAGGAGUUAAGUCACUUGUCCGAGGUCCCACUCCCCGAUGGCGGCAUGAUGUGAACCCACGUCUCUGUAGCUCCAAAGCCUGUCUCUUCCCGCUGCCCUGUUCUGUCUCUGGGCCAACCCCUGCUCCCCAGAGUGAAGACUUGGCCGAGGGCUAAAAAGUUAAAACUUCACCUGAGGUGAACUUCACCUCUGACCCCAAAUCCUGUAAUAUUUCUACGUCGGUUGAGUCCAUGGGACAGAGUGGGGGAGGGUAACCCACCAAACUGGGUUCUGGCCCCUGUUCGGUCUAGGGUCCCUGGGAGGGCGUGAAGAUAGGCUGGCAGGAGAGAACUGGGGACCACUGGUGAGUUGUAAGAGUCUCUUGCCGGGGGAGCUGUUAAUGGCUGGAAGGCACGGCCUGCGUUGGACGGGAGGUCUGCAGAGGUAACAGACUAGGCGCACCGGACGGUGCCAGCAGGUCAACUUGGCAUCUUCUCCUCCACCACACUCAGCGGUUCCUCCCUAGGCAAAACACCGUAUCAUCCAGAAACACCCACUCCUGAGUACGUAGGGUCACAGUGAAUAAGUCACUGUCAUUUUCACACCGAUGCGGGGGAAAUUUCGAUGGGAUGAAAAGGUAAGGCCUUCUUCUUUUUUUUUUUUUUAAUAUUUAUUUAUUUUUGAGAGACAGAGACAGAGCGUGAG